AUCCUCCAGUUCCCUUUCCCCUCAGAUCUGAACCUGGUCUUAGUGGGCACAAGAGGAGGGAAAGAAACACUGAAGCUGGCCUCUGGUGGUGUAGCCUGGCUGCACCUGGGACUGGUUUCUGACACCA
ensembl:snoRNA